rnacentral:rRNA from 1 species
GUUUGAUCCUGGCUCAGAUUGAACGCUGGCGGCAGGCCUAACACAUGCAAGUCGAGCGGUAACACAGAGAGCUUGCUCUCGGGUGACGAGCGGCGGACGGGUGAGUAAUGUCUGGGAAACUGCCUGAUGGAGGGGGAUAACUACUGGAAACGGUAGCUAAUACCGCAUAACGUCGCGAGACCAAAGUGGGGGACCUUCGGGCCUCAUGCCAUCAGAUGUGCCCAGAUGGGAUUAGCUAGUAGGUGGGGUAAUGGCUCACCUAGGCGACGAUCCCUAGCUGGUCUGAGAGGAUGACCAGCCACACUGGAACUGAGACACGGUCCAGACUCCUACGGGAGGCAGCAGUGGGGAAUAUUGCACAAUGGGCGCAAGCCUGAUGCAGCCAUGCCGCGUGUAUGAAGAAGGCCUUCGGGUUGUAAAGUACUUUCAGCGAGGAGGAAGGCGUUAAGGUUAAUAACCUUGGCGAUUGACGUUACUCGCAGAAGAAGCACCGGCUAACUCCGUGCCAGCAGCCGCGGUAAUACGGAGGGUGCAAGCGUUAAUCGGAAUUACUGGGCGUAAAGCGCACGCAGGCGGUCUGUCAAGUCGGAUGUGAAAUCCCCGGGCUCAACCUGGGAACUGCAUUCGAAACUGGCAGGCUAGAGUCUUGUAGAGGGGGGUAGAAUUCCAGGUGUAGCGGUGAAAUGCGUAGAGAUCUGGAGGAAUACCGGUGGCGAAGGCGGCCCCCUGGACAAAGACUGACGCUCAGGUGCGAAAGCGUGGGGGAGCAAACAGGAUUAGAUACCCUGGUAGUCCACGCCGUAAAACGAUGUCGACUUGGAGGUUGUGCCCUUGAGGCGUGGCUUCCGGAGCUAACGCGUUAAGUCGACCGCCUGGGGAGUACGGCCGCAAGGUUAAAACUCAAAUGAAUUGACGGGGGCCCGCACAAGCGGUGGAGCAUGUGGUUUAAUUCGAUGCAACGCGAAGAACCUUACCUACUCUUGACAUCCAGAGAACUUAGCAGAGAUGCUUUGGUGCCUUCGGGAACUCUGAGACAGGUGCUGCAUGGCUGUCGUCAGCUCGUGUUGUGAAAUGUUGGGUUAAGUCCCGCGACGAGCGCAACCCUUAUCCUUUGUUGCCAGCGGUUAGGCCGGGAACUCAAAGGAGACUGCCAGUGAUAAACUGGAGGAAGGUGGGGAUGACGUCAAGUCAUCAUGGCCCUUACGAGUAGGGCUACACACGUGCUACAAUGGCAUAUACAAAGAGAAGCGACCUCGCGAGAGCAAGCGGACCUCAUAAAGUAUGUCGUAGUCCGGAUUGGAGUCUGCAACUCGACUCCAUGAAGUCGGAAUCGCUAGUAAUCGUAGAUCAGAAUGCUACGGUGAAUACGUUCCCGGGCCUUGUACACACCGCCCGUCACACCAUGGGAGUGGGUUGCAAAAGAAGUAGGUAGCUUAACCUUCGGGAGGGCGCUUACCACUUUGUGAUUCAUGACUGGGGUGAAGUCGUAACAAGGUAACCA